UUUGUACUCCCUCAGUCCCAAAAUUCUUGUCUUAAAUUUGUCUAAAUACGGAUGUAUCUAGUUACAUUUUAGUGUUAGAUACAUCCGUAUCUAAACAAAUGUAAGACAAGAAUUUUGGGACGGAGGGAAUACUAC
rfam:Triticum aestivum genome assembly, contig: Triticum_aestivum_CS42_TGACv1_scaffold_374594_5AL